ACGGGUGGUAAUGCCGGAUGCUCCAUCACACUGCAUGGUGUGUUGGGAAAGCCUUUGCGGCAUGGGAUGGGGUCGCGUCCUAUCAGCUUGAUGGCGGGGUAACGGCCCACCAUGGCUUCGACGGGUAGCCGGCCUGAGAGGGCGACCGGCCACAUUGGGACUGAGAUACGGCCCAGACUCCUACGGGAGGCAGCAGUGGGGAAUAUUGCACAAUGGGCGCAAGCCUGAUGCAGCGACGCCGCGUGAGGGAUGGAGGCCUUCGGGUUGUAAACCUCUUUUGUUAGGGAGCAAGGCAYUUUGUGUUGAGUGUACCUUUCGAAUAAGCACCGGCUAACUACGUGCCAGCAGCCGCGGUAAUACGUAGGGUGCAAGCGUUAUCCGGAAUUAUUGGGCGUAAAGGGCUCGUAGGCGGUUCGUCGCGUCCGGUGUGAAAGUCCAUCGCUUAACGGUGGAUCCGCGCCGGGUACGGGCGGGCUUGAGUGCGGUAGGGGAGACUGGAAUUCCCGGUGUAACGGUGGAAUGUGUAGAUAUCGGG
rnacentral:rRNA from 1 species